GGCCAGACUCCUACGGGAGGCAGCAGUGGGGGAUAUUGCACAAUGGGGGAAACCCUGAUGCAGCGACGCCGCGUGAGUGAAGAAGUAAUUCGUUACGUAAAGCUCUAUCAGCAGGGAAGAAAAUGACGGUACCUGACUAAGAAGCCCCGGCUAACUACGUGCCAGCAGCCGCGGUAAUACGUAGGGGGCAAGCGUUAUCCGGAAUUACUGGGUGUAAAGGGAGCGCAGACGGCAGCGCAAGCCAGGAGUGAAAGCGCGGGGCCCAACCCCGGGACUGCUCUUGGAACUGCGCGGCUGGAGUGCAGGAGGGGCAGGCGGAAUUCCUGGUGUAGCGGUGAAAUGCGUAGAUAUCAGGAGGAACACCGGCGGCGAAGGCGGCCUGCUGGACCGUGACUGACGUUGAGGCUCGAGAGCGUGGGGAGCAAACAGGAUUAGAUACCCGCGUAA
rnacentral:rRNA from 1 species